rnacentral:rRNA from 1 species
UGGGGAAUAUUGCACAAUGGGGGAAACCCUGAUGCAGCGACGCCGCGUGAACGAAGAAGGUAUUCGUAUCGUAAAGUUCUGUCCUAUGGGAAGAUAAUGACAGUACCAUAGAAGAAAGCUCCGGCUAAAUACGUGCCAGCAGCCGCGGUAAUACGUAUGGAGCGAGCGUUGUCCGGAAUUAUUGGGCGUAAAGGGUACGCAGGCGGUUUAAUAAGUCGAAUGUUAAAGAUCGGGGCUCAACCCCGUAAAGCAUUGGAAACUGAUAAACUUGAGUAGUGGAGAGGAAAGUGGAAUUCCUAGUGUAGUGGUGAAAUACGUAGAUAUUAGGAGGAAUACCAGUAGCGAAGGCGGCUUUCUGGACACAAACUGACGCUGAGGUACGAAAGCGUGGGGAGCAAACAGG